rnacentral:rRNA from 1 species
GACGAACGCUGGCGGCGUGCUUAACACAUGCAAGUCGAGCGGUAAGGCCCUUUCGGGGGUACACGAGCGGCGAACGGGUGAGUAACACGUGGGUGACCUGCCUCUAGCUCUGGGAUAAGCCCGGGAAACUGGGUCUAAUACUGGAUAUGACUCCAUGACGCAUGUUGUGGGGUGGAAAGCCUUGUGCGGCUAGAGAUGGGCCCGCGGCCUAUCAGCUUGUUGGGGGGUG